rnacentral:tRNA from 1 species
GCCGACAUAGCUCAGCCGGUAGAGCAGAGGUUUUGUAAACCUCAGGUCGGGGGUUCGAUUCCCUCUGUCGGCU